GAUGAACGCUGGCGGCGUGCUUAACACAUGCAAGUCGAACGAAGCACUUUAUUUGAUUUCCUUCGGGACUGAUUAUUUUGUGACUGAGUGGCGGACGGGUGAGUAACGCGUGGGUAGCCUGCCUUGUACAGGGGGAUAACAGUUGGAAACGGCUGCUAAUACCGCAUAAGCGCACGGCAUCGCAUGAUGCAGUGUGAAAAACUCCGGUGGUAUAAGAUGGACCCGCGUUGGAUUAGCUAGUUGGUGAGGUAACGGCCCACCAAGGCGACGAUCCAUAGCCGACCUGAGAGGGUGACCGGCCACAGUGGGACUGAGACACGGCCCAAACUCCUACGGGAGGCAGCAGUGGGGAAUAUUGCACAAUGGGCGAAAGCCUGAUGCAGCGACGCCGCGUGAGCGAAGAAGUAUUUCGGUAUGUAAAGCUCUAUCAGCAGGGAAGAUAAUGACGGUACCUGACUAAGAAGCACCGGCUAAAUACGUG
rnacentral:rRNA from 1 species